CCACUUAGCAAGUAAAACAAGUAGUUGAUGAUGAUGAAGAUGACCAGGAAUCUAAAUCAGUAGUAAAAUUUUAUAUGUAUCUAGUAUAUGGGGAUAUUGGGUUCAAAUUUUGAGACAUGGUUUUAUCUUAUCUGAUCCACAAAGGGAUUUGACGGAGAUAUUGAGCGAAAAUUUUCCAGGAUUUGAGGGAGAAUAUAGAUUAUUGAGAGAGUCUUAUCUAUUUUUUGCGAAAUUAUUGAGGGCCUGGUCUCUC
rnacentral:lncRNA from 1 species